rnacentral:lncRNA from 1 species
GUUUUUUUACAAUACUAAAAAUUGUUUUUAUAAUGUUGUAUUCUAUUCCAAUUUGAUUAACACUUAUUUACCAUUCACAUUUUAUUAAUGAACUAUUUUAUGUUAGUAAAAGAAAAUAUUUUUUUCAUUUUCCAAAGUAGGUAGUUAUAAAUAUGAUCUCUUUUCCUGUCAGUUUUAAUUUUCAAAGGUUUAGAAUAAGAUAGGUUCUGAUGUGUCUGCUUCUGUAGAUUGUACAUUUGGGAUUGAGAAAGAGAAGUUCUGAUGUGAGCUGAAUAAUGUUCUUUAUCAAAGUUUGACAAUGAACAAGUUAUUAUGAUAGGUGAUUUGAAUAGAAAGGCUAGUAAGAAAGAUUUGUUGGGAAGAGAAUGAUGAUCCUAGAGUGGAAUGACAAUAAGAUGAAAUCCUUUUUAAUGAUUUAAAAUUCAUUAUCAAGCAGAAUCUAGUUCUCUUAUGCCAAGAUAUGUGAGAUGAACAAGUUAACAUGUUGUAUAAAAUUAAAUCUUUAGUCAAGCAAUGGGAUUCUAAAUAUCACCAGAACAGCAGAGAGGAAAUCAUCCUUGUAAGGUUCCAUAUUGAGUACAACUUUUUUAUCCAUAAAUAUCUUUUAAUGGGUGAAGAUCUGCCAUUCCAUGACCAUUAUUAUCGUCCACUUUCUAUCAAAUAUGUUUUAACUGAGUGCACAUAUUUUACC